rnacentral:rRNA from 1 species
AUGGAUGAUGAGGGUGGGAUCACCCAAGAGGGCCAUGAGCUUGAUGAUGACAUGACUUUGGCGGACGCUCAAGCUCGGUCCGCAUAUGUGUUCAAGCCUAGGCAGUCUAGACGCCGGUACACGCCCAACGACUAUGACAAUAGAGGCAACCCAAAGGUGGUCGUAGGGACCUCGCAGAUGGCUAGCUUGGAUGAUGAGGCGGAGGAGGAGGCAGAGGCGGAGGCGGAGGAGGAAGUGCACGAAGAGGAGCCUCGUGCUCCUAAGAAGAAGAAGAUUACCUCCAGGCGUGGCACCAGGAACACGCGCGGAAGGCAUUAG